AUGGUCAUCUGGACCACCAUAUCUACUAGCUUUGAUGCGACAUCGGUGACAAGUAAAAUACUGGAAGACGCUACGCGCGUGAAACCGAGCAGCGAUCAUUUGGAACCACUACAACGGGACCUCAAAGAGAAACUCGCAUUCAUUAAUUUUUUGUUAGUUCUAGAUGACGUUUGGGAAGAUAAGAAGAGAGAUGAAUGGGAGAAGUUAUUUGCUCCUCUGAAGGAACUGAACACUACUGGGAGCAAAAUUCUGUUGACAACCCGAAUGCAAUCUGUAGCAGACAUGGCUGCAAAGGUGAUGGGGGUCGAAAGGGAUAAGUUCUUGACAUUACAAGGACUGGAAGAUGAUAAAAAUCUCAAGCUCUUCAAUCAUCAUGCCUUUUCCGGUUUGAAUCCAAGAGAUUCAUAUUUGGAGUUAAUUGGAGAACAAAUUGCAAAGAAACUGAGAGGAUGUCCCUUGGUAACGAAGGUUGUCGCUGAGCAUCUGCAAAGCAAUAUGACACCUGAAUACUGGAGAAGAUUCUUGCAUCAAGGAUUGGAACAUUUUAAAGGAACCGAAAAAGAUAUUAUGAAUGUUCUCAGAUUGAGCUACUACCACUUACCAACAGAGCUACAGAUUUGUUUUCGGUAUUGUUGCAUAUUUCCGCAGGACUAUAGAUUUGGAAAGAAACAAUUGGUGCAAAUGUGGAUUGGUUCUGGAUUAAUUGCAAGUGGCAUUCAAUCUUUGGAGGAUACCGCAGAACAAUUCUUGGCUCAGCUAACUAGAAAGUCGUUCUUUGAUAUGAAACCUAUAACUUUUGGAUGGGAAGAAAAAGAAAGUUAUGUAAUGCAUGACUUGAUGCAUGAAUUAGCAAGCAAUGUGUCCACCGGUGAAUGUGCAAGAAUAUGUGAUCCUGUUCAACUUCAAGAUGAGAAGUAUACAGUCCGACACCUAUGCAUUGUCAAUAUUCACAGUUUCUCUGCUGAUGAGGUCAAGAAAAUCUCCCAUUUUAAGAAUCUACGCACUAUUAUCAUUCGUGAUAUCCCGCUAGUUGAAAAUGCUACUGUUUGCGCACUUCAAAUGAUAGUUGAGACCUCAAAAUCACUGCGACUAUUAUAUGCAGAAUUACGAAACCAAUCCUGUUUUGCAAUCAAGUUUGGUAACUUAAAACAUCUUCGCUAUAUCUUCAUGAGUUCGAUAGCACAAGACAAGAUAUGUGGGGUCGCAAAACUUUAUCACUUGAUGUUCCUUUACCAUGGUUUUUUUGUUACCAAAAUACAUGAAGCAAGAUAUUUAGGGAACCUUGAAUGCCUGCGGUGUGUAUCCUAUGGUGGUGUGCAUGGAUUUGGUAAUUUUCCUGUAAGCAGGCUCACUUCUCUUCAGGAAUUACAUAAUUAUAUGGUAGAAGAAAGAACAUGCAACAAAAUAAGUGCAAUUGGGAGCUUAAGAGAUCUUCAUGAAUUAGGUCUGCAGGGUCUUGAGAAUGUUAAGAAUUGUGAAGAAGCUAAGAGUGCCAAGUUGAAGGAAAAACAACAUCUCAACUCACUAUUCAUGGAGUGGUCGACACCUGAUCAAAUCAUGACAGAUGAGUUAGUUCUUGACCACCUUGAGCCACAUGUUAAUAUCAAGGUAUUGAAAAUUCAAGGUUACCCAGGUCCCAAAAUUCCAUCUUGGAUAGAGGACAGCUCUGUAAAAAAUCUGGUAUCUCUCAGGUUGAUAAGUUGCAUUAAUUGGGAAUAUCUUCCCUCUCUUGGCGAUUUGGUAUUUUUGAAGUUUCUAAUGUUGGAGGACCUUCGUAAGCUACGUCAGAUUGGUCGAUCAUCUGAUAUGUCUGGUAGUAGCUCCACGGAGUUGCUGUUACCUCAAAGACUUCAUAGUUUGGAAGUAAAUGAAUGCCGAGAACUGAGGGAGUUACCUAUUCUACCUCCAAGCCUAGUGUCACUGAAUAUAGGAGAUGUUUGUCUGACCAAACUUCCUAUUAUUGGAAAGAUACCGAGUGGAAGCAUCGAGCCAAAAUCAUCUAAGUUGACUGAUAUAAUUAUCACCAACUGUCCAUGCUUAACUUCGCUGGAAGGGAGCCUUUUGGAGCAAAAAUUGCACAUGGGAACUCUCGAUGCCCUAAGAAUUAAUAAUUGUCAGGAUCUGCAAUCCGCCCCCAUACCAUUUGAAGAAAUUAAAGAGCUUAAGAUGCUCAUAAUAACGGCAUGUCCAAAGUUGAGGACGAUGAGAGAUGGCAAAGAUAAGCUUGUGCCAUCAUCACUAAGAAACCUUACUAUUGGUCAGUGUGGUGACCUGGAACUUCCACUACUUGAGUCACUCCACCUGCUCACCAACUUAUCUGCACUUAUGCUGGAAAACUGCUCGAGCCUGGUGUCCCUCCCCUCCGGGGAUGUAUUCAAGAGUCUCAGGUCUUUGCAGACCAUGCACAUAAAGGAAUGCGAGAAUCUCUCGUCCUUGGGAGGGCUCGGAUCACUUCCAACCCUCUAUUUCUUAGUAAUUAGAGGGUGCGGUAAACUCGCGGAGGCUGGGUCCUCGCUAACUCGAGUUGCAUCUGGUUCUGGUGGCGAAGACGAGCAUCUGGUGGAGCCCGGUAGCUCACUGGAGAUAACAAAUCUUGACAUUGAUCUGCCGUCCCUGCUGCAUCUUGAGCCACUCAAGAGUCUCUGCCGCACCGAAUAUUUGUGUAUCAAUAACACUGUGUCAGAGAUGGAUAGCUUACCUGAACGAUGGCUGCUACAGAACCGUUCAUCCCUCCGACUGCUGACUAUACCCAAAGCAGAUUCCUUGAGAUCGCUCCCACCCAGAAUGCAAGACCUCUGCUCUCUCCAGGAAUUGUACCUAAUUGAUGCUGGGCAACUCCAGUCACUUCCAUAUCUGCCCUCCUCCUUGAAGGCCCUCAGACUUCCAGGAUGCCAUCCGGACCUGAAGAAGAAGAUUACCAAACAUGGAAGCCCCGAAUGGAACAAGAUUGCUCACAUCCCUUAUGCGGAAAUAGGAGAUUCGCUUUUCAUCAGUGGCAAGAAGAAACACAAAAGGCCUUCACCAAACUAA
rnacentral:rRNA from 1 species